GAUGAAGAACGCAGCGAAAUGCGAUACGUAAUGUGAAUUGCAGAAUUCAGUGAAUCAUCGAGUCUUUGAACGCACAUUGCGCCCCCUGGUAUUCCGGGGGGCAUGCCUGUCCGAGCGUCAUUGCUGCCCUCAAGCCCGGCUUGUGUGUUGGGUCUCGUCCCCCUUCCCGGGGGGACGGGCCCGAAAGGCAGCGGCGGCACCGUGUCCGGUCCUCGAGCGUAUGAGGCUUUGUCACCCGCUCUGUAGGCCCGGCCGGCGCUUGCCGAUCAACCAAAACUUUUUUCCAGGUUGACCUCGGAUCAGGUAGGGAUACCCGCUGAACUUAAGCAUAUCAAUAAGCGGAGGA
rnacentral:misc_RNA from 1 species